CGAAUUGGGGAUAACGUUGCGAAAGUGACGCUAAUACCGGAUAAUAUCAUAGAGACCUUGGUUUUUAUGAUCAAAGAUGGCCUCUCCUUGGAAGCUAUUGUUUGGAGAUGAGCCCGCGUCCCAUUAGCUUGUUGGUGGGGUAAUGGCCUACCAAGGCAACGAUGGGUAGCUGGUCUGAGAGGAUGAUCAGCCACACUGGAACUGACACACGGUCCAGACUCCUACGGGAGGCAGCAGUGAGGAAUUUUGCGCAAUGGGGGAAACCCUGACGCAGCAACGCCGCGUGAGUGAUGAAGGCUUUCGGGUCGUAAAGCUCUGUCAAGUGGGAAGAACUCCCGUGAGGUUAAUACCCUCAUGGUUUGACGGUACCACUGAAGGAAGCACCGGCUAACUCCGUGCCAGCAGCCGCGGUAAUACGGGGGGUGCAAGCGUUAUUCGGAUUUACUGGGCGUAAAGCGCGCGUAGGCGGCCGUUUGAGUCAGAUGUGAAAGCCCGGGGCUCAACCCCGGAAGUGCAUUUGAUACUAUUCGGCUUGAGUAUGGGAGAGGGAAGUGGAAUUCCUGGUGUAGAGGUGAAAUUCGUAGAUAUCAGGAGGAACACCGGUGGCGAAGGCGACUUCCUGGACCAAUACUGACGCUGAGGCGCGAAGGCGUGGGUAGCAAACAGGAUUAGAUACCCUGGUAGUCCACGCAGUAAAUCGGUGAUCACUAGGUGUAGCGGGUAUUGACCCCUGCUGUGCCGCAGCUAACGCAUUAAGUGAUCCGCCUGGGGAGUACGGCCGCAAGGUUAAAACUCAA
rnacentral:rRNA from 1 species